GGGCGUGUAGCUCAGUUGGGAGAGCACGAGCAUGGCAUGUUCGGGGUCGCAGGUUCGAUUCCUGUCACGUCCACCA
rnacentral:tRNA from 1 species